rnacentral:rRNA from 1 species
UACGAAGGUGGCAAUCGUUGUUCGGAAUUACUGGGCGUAAAGCGCGCGUAGGCGGUUGGGUAAGUCGUGCGUGAAAGCCCCGGGCUCAACCCGGGAAGUGCGGAGGAUACUGCCCGGCUAGAGGAUGGGAGAGGAGAGUGGAAUUCCCGGUGUAGCGGUGAAAUGCGUAGAUAUCGGGAGGAAGGCCGGUGGCGAAGGCGGCGCUCUGGAACAUUGCUGACGCUGAGGCUCGAAAGCGUGGGGAGAAAACAGG